GCUGGGCGCGGUGGUGCAUGCCUGUAAUCCCAGCGGCUCAGGAGGCUGAGACAGGAGGAUUGUGAGUUCAAAGUCAGCCUCAGCAAAAGGGAGGCACUAAGCAACUCAGUGAGACCCUGUCUCUA
rnacentral:sRNA from 1 species